rnacentral:rRNA from 1 species
CCUACGGGAGGCAGCAGUGGGGAAUAUUGCACAAUGGGGGAAACCCUGAUGCAGCGACGCCGCGUGGGUGACGAAGUAUUUCGGUAUGUAAAGCCCUAUCAGCAGGGAAGAAGAUGACAGUACCUGACCAAGAAGCCCCGGCUAACUACGUGCCAGCAGCCGCGGUAAUACGUAGGGGGCAAGCGUUAUCCGGAUUUACUGGGUGUAAAGGGAGCGUAGGUGGCAUGGCAAGCCAGAAGUGAAAACCCGGGGCUUAACCCCGCGGAUUGCUUUUGGAACUGUCAGGCUGGAGUGCAGGAGGGGCAGGCGGAAUUCCUGGUGUAGCGGUGAAAUGCGUAGAUAUCAGGAGGAACACUGGUGGCGAAGGCGGCCUGCUGGACUGUAACUGACACUGAGGCUCGAAAGCGUGGGGAGCAAACAGGAUUAGAUACCCCGGUAGUC